UACAGAGGGUGCAAGCGUUGUUCGGAAUCAUUGGGCGUAAAGCGCGUGUAGGCGGUUGUCUAAGUCUGAUGUGAAAGCCCAGGGCUCAACCCUGGAAGUGCAUUGGAUACUGGAUAACUAGAGGGCGAGAGAGGAAAGUGGAAUUCAUGGUGUAGGGGUGAAAUCCGUAGAUAUCAUGAGGAACAUCUGUGGCGAAGGCGGCUUUCUGGCUCGUUUCUGACGCUGAGACGCGAAAGCGUGGGGAGCAAACAGG
rnacentral:rRNA from 1 species